rnacentral:rRNA from 1 species
AUGGAAGUGGACUGCUCGAAGUUGGUGACACUCUGGAAUUCUCGUCACAAUUCUCGUUCUAUUGUGGCUUACCUAUUAGAUGAGAUAGGAGAGCUCAGUACUUACUUUACAUCCUUUGAUAUUUGUCAUGUAAGUAGAUCAGCUAAUACCCCGGCGCAUCUAUGUGCUAAACGUGCUUGUGCACUGGAUGUUACGGAUAGCUGGCUAGAUGAAACUCCAAGCUUCUUGGUAACCAGCCUCUUGGCUGAUUGUUCCAAGAAUGCUUUCAUAUGA